rnacentral:rRNA from 6 species
UAGGGAAUCUUCGGCAAUGGACGGAAGUCUGACCGAGCAACGCCGCGUGAGUGAAGAAGGUUUUCGGAUCGUAAAGCUCUGUUGUAAGAGAAGAACGAGUGUGAGAGUGGAAAGUUCACACUGUGACGGUAUCUUACCAGAAAGGGACGGCUAACUACGUGCCAGCAGCCGCGGUAAUACGUAGGUCCCGAGCGUUGUCCGGAUUUAUUGGGCGUAAAGCGAGCGCAGGCGGUUAGAUAAGUCUGAAGUUAAAGGCUGUGGCUUAACCAUAGUACGCUUUGGAAACUGUUUAACUUGAGUGCAAGAGGGGAGAGUGGAAUUCCAUGUGUAGCGGUGAAAUGCGUAGAUAUAUGGAGGAACACCGGUGGCGAAAGCGGCUCUCUGGCUUGUAACUGACGCUGAGGCUCGAAAGCGUGGGGAGCAAACAGG